UACAGAGGGUGCAAGCGUUGUUCGGAAUUAUUGGGCGUAAAGGGAGUGUAGGCGGCUUGUUAAGUCUUCUGUGAAAUCUACGGGCUCAGCCUGUAAAGUGCAGAGGAAACUGGCGAGCUUGAGUGUCGGAGAGGAUAGGGGAAUACCCGGUGUAGAGGUGAAAUUCGUAGAGAUCGGGUGGAACACCAGUGGCGAAGGCGCCUAUCUGGCUGACAACUGACGCUGAGGAGCGAAAGCGUGGGGAGCAAACAGG
rnacentral:rRNA from 1 species